AUUGAACGCUGGCGGCAUGCCUUACACAUGCAAGUCGAACGGCAGCACGGGAGCAAUCCUGGUGGCGAGUGGCGAACGGGUGAGUAAUAUAUCGGAACGUGCCCAGUAAUGGGGGAUAGCCCGGCGACAGCCGGAUUAAUACCGCAUACGACCUACGGGUGAAAGCAGGGGACCGCAAGACCUUGCGUUAUUGGAGCGGCCGAUAUCAGAUUAGCUUGUUGGUGGGGUAAAGGCCUACCAAGGCAACGAUCUGUAGCUGAUCUGAGAGUACGAACAGCCACACUAGGACUGAGACAAGGCCCAGACUCCUACAGGAGGCAUCAGUGGGGAAUUUUGGACAAUGGGAGCAAGCCUGAUCCAGCCAUGCCGCGUGCGGGAAGAAGGCCUUCGGGUUGUAAACCGCUUUUGUCAGGGACGAAACGGCUCUUGCUAAUAUCGGGAGCUACUGACGGUACCUGAAGAAUAAGCACCGGCUAACUACGUGCCAGCAGCCGCAGCAAUAC
rnacentral:rRNA from 1 species